rnacentral:rRNA from 1 species
CAGAACGAACGCUGGCGGCAUGCCGUAACACAUGCAAGUCGAACGAGACCUUCGGGUCUAGUGGCGCACGGGGUGCGUAACGCGUGGGAAUCUGCCCUUAGGUUCGGAAUAACUUCGGGAAACUGAAGCUAAUACCGGAUGAUUGACGUAAGUCCAAAGAUUUAUCGCCUAAGGAUGAGCCCGCGUUGGAUUAGCUAGUUGGUGGGGGUAAUGGCUCACCAAGGCGACGAUCCCUAGCUGGUUUGAGAGGAUGAUCAGCCACACUGGGACUGAGACACGGCCCAGACUCCUACGGGAGGCAGCAGUGGGGAAUAUUGGACAAUGGGCGAAAGCCUGAUCCAGCAAUGCCGCGUGAGUGAUGAAGGCCUUAGGGUUGUAAAGCUCUUUUACCCGGGAUGAUAAUGACAGUACCGGGAGAAUAAGCUCCGGCUAACUCCGUG